CGGGAGUGUGGGGGUCAGUGACUUCUCCCCUUUGCGCUGGCAAAGGCUCGCGUCCCCUCCUCCUGGGCCGUCUCAGGACUGGCCGGCAUGGAAACGAGCGUCCAGUGGAGAGAAAGCGAUAAUCCGCGGCGGCAGAUCCUGCAACCACCUGGACUCUAGCAAAGGCUUUCUGCUUGGUCUCCCUGACUCAAGUUUGUCUUCUCUCUGGGCUAAUCUAUACUCAGCUGUAAGAUUGAUCUUCUUCCUAAAUCACAGGUCUGACCAUGUCACUCCCCCACAUUCAGAAAACUCCAGUGGCUCCCUAUUACCUCCAGCAUCAAUUAUAAAAUACUCUGUUUAGAUUUUAAAGCUAUUCAUAACUGUAGCAGGCAAAGCCUAAGGACCUCCAGAGGUCUUUGGCAUGCAAAAGGAGAAAUGAUAGGCUGUAAUUAUAUGAUACCAAAAGAGCCUACUGACAAAUAGAAAUAAUAAAUAAAAGCAUCAGCACUAUUCGGCCAAUUGUUUUGGAUACUUGAUGCUAUCUCCCCCCCCAAAAAAACCUACCUGCAUGGGUUCCUUUCAUUAAAUUUAUUGAACUGACCCCUUGUUGUGGCUACACAUGAAUAUGAAAUUCAUUUCACUGUGAAUAUAAUAAUAUAAUAACCUGAGUUGUUACUGAUAAACAGUCGCCAUAUGCAGAGGAAUGACUUGGAAAGGAAAAUUGAUUUUACUGUUAAUAGAAAUAUGCAUUUUUACCAGCAUCUAUUAUUCUGCUAGGUGGCACAGGGGAUAGAGUGCGAGGUCUGGAAUCAGGAAGACUCUUCUUUGUGAGUUCAAAUCUAGCUUCAGACAAUAUUUACAGCUGGGUGAACCUGGGCAAGUCACUUAAUCCUGUUGGCUACAAUUUCUUUAUCUGUAGAGUGAACUGGAAAAGGAAAUGACAAACUAACUGCUCCAAUGUCUUUGCCAAAAAAAUUCCCAGAUAGGGUCACAGAGUCAGACACAACUAAAAUGACUGAAUGAUAAGAAUAUUCACUCACUAGCAAUCUUAAAUAACUUUAGAUGCUACUUUUGUAGGUUCCAAGUUAGGCUUACCCAAUUGUUGCUAUUUUUCCUGUAGGUAGAGGAAGGCAACAGAGAGUAAGUAAAUAGUGAGCUGGAUUUGGCCUCAGUAAGGCAUAGAUCCUUGUCCUACCUGUGACCCAUAAAGUCUGUCUAACUGGGCAAGUCACUUCAUGUGCAGAUGUUAUCAGAAUCUCUCCAAGAUUGCAGAGGAGACAAAAAUUAUAUUGGUGGAAUGAGUUUCUUCAGUGGGAAUCCUCUCUAGUCAGUGAAAUCAAAGGUCAAGUUCAAAAAUUAACAAGGGGCACAUUAUAUUUUCUAAAGCAACCAUAAAGACUUUGAUUUCUCUCAGAACGCCAGGGGGAAAUCAUUAUUAUUUCUAUUUGAUGUAUAUAAAGAAAUGAAAUUUUUUAUUUAACCAAUUUUUAAAAUUUGAAAAGGUUAUCAAAUAGAGCAAGCUAAAAGAUUGAGCUUAGAAGACCUGUGUUUUUUAUCUCUUACUUCUGUCUUAAUAUCCAUUCUAAGACAGAAUUUCAACAAAGAUCAGGCAUUUGGGUAUUAUGACUUGCUAGGGUCCCACAGCUAUAAAGUGGCUAAGGUCAAAUUUGAACCCAAGACCUCCCAUCUCCAGGCCUGGUGCUCUACCUAUUGUGCAACCUAGCUCUCCCUUAUUAUUCUCUUUUCGAAGUAAAGUUGAGCUUAUCAUCUCUUCAAGUACUAGUAUACAAGGUUUGGGAUAAAUUGGGAUCCCCCAAGAUUGGCCAGGUAAAUCCUAGAGGCCAGGUAAAUUCCAGAGUAAAGUUCAAGAUAGCAGGGAUUAGUAAUGAAUCACAGGACAGUACUGGAGCACAUGUUCUUGCCCAACGCCUUACAGCAGAGGAAAUGCUUCAUUAGGGAAGCUAAGGAUAGACAGGAGGAGCUGUAUUGGGACCCUGGAUUUCCCUUGGACACCCCAAACCCCAGAGGUGUUUCAGGUCAAACAGAAAGCAGGAAAAUUCCUUUCCUUCCUUGCAUUCUUGUAAUGCUGAGAAAAAGGUGACUCUGGGCAUCAGAGACUCACGAUAAGGAAAGACCCUGAGAGAAAUAUUCCCCUUGGAUUCCCCCUACAUUUUGAGAUGGACACAGAUAUACAUCUUCUGGCUAUGCUCUGAUACCACUGGGUUGUGAUCUAGGACAUCUUACUUGUCCCCUACACUAUGCCCAACCUGUGUCUUCAGAGCACUAAACUUCACUCUAGCCUCAGUCAGGUAACAAACACCCCCCACUUCUGUCCGACCUCAUUUCAUUCCCUCAUCCUUGGGCACUGGCAAAAGGGAAUAAGAAGCCCAGAAUCCAUCUCCUCUAGGAGGCAGUAUCCACUCUGUGUCCAUCUUCUGAUCUUUCAACAUUACUAUCAAAUUAAUAAAUUUCUCUUUUUAUUUGUAAGCUCGGUUUUGGAGUCUUGCAUUCUCAUAAAGGGUUCCUGUUCUGAACCUGGGGUUCACCUCAAAUCCCAGAGUAUAAGUGUGGGUCAAAGCUGUUCACUAGAGUUGAUAAAUCAAAGGAACAAUGUGAGAAUCGAUGCUGUUUGGCUAGAGAAAACAAGGUGUGCUAGGACCAGUGUUUUUCCUGACAUGCUUCUCAGCUUCCUUGAUGCUAAUCUAAGAGCAUAAAAAGCCUAAAUAUAAGGAACCUGGGCCUCUCAGACUUUUGUGAAUGCCUGGGACCAACCAGGUUGUCACACCCUGGCACAGUGCUUAGCUAUAUAAACAUUAGUUAUUGUUAUCAUUAUUAUCAUUCAUCAUUGUGAUGACUUACUAACCAGAUGGGUUUCUAGAUGGAGUUGAGGGUGGACCUCAUCCAGAAAAGUUAAGUCCUUGUUUUAUGGCCUUGAUGCACUGUGUAUAGAAUGUUAAGCCUGAAAGCAGGAAGACUCAUCUUCCUAAGUUCAAAUCUGCCCUCAGACAUUUAUAAACUAUGUGACCCUAGGCAAGUCACUUAACCCUGUUUGCCUUCAUUUCUUCAUCUGUAAAAUGAAGUGGAGACGGAAAUAGCACGCCACUCCUGUAUCUUUGUGAAGAAAACCCCAAAUGAAAGUCAGGCAUGACUGAACAACAGCAAAAAAACAAACCCUCUUUGUUAAAAGUUAGGUACCUUUGUGGAUAUCUCCCUUCUCACUAAGUUGAGCCCCCAACAUUUGGCAUAGCCUAUGUAGGUUGGGACUAUGAGAGAUGACCUCACUGUGGGAAGAGUUCUGCAAAUAUGGAGAAGAAAGAUGGAUCCAGUCAGAGUGGAUAAAGGCUUCCUGUUAUCUGUCUUCCCAUAUGGAAAGCCCUUUCUAUGAGACAGGCCAUUAGGCUGUACAGAUUAUGUGGGAUCAACAAUUAGGCUCCCCACUAAGGCAGCGGGAUUAGUUGACUGGGUACUGAAAGAGGUUGCCUGAGAGGUUAAAGAAGCCAGCAUCCCCAAGUUGUUGACUGUAUUUCACAAGUUGGACUGCUAACAGGGUCUGAUAACAGUUGGCUGAAAGUCAACUGGUCAGUCGGAUCCAGCAGCUAGAGACAGAACUCUCAGCUUUCAGAGACCAUGCAAGAAAGCCACGGAUUAGCUAAUGGACCUGAUGGCAGGACAAAUGAAGAUAUGUCUUCUAAUGAGGAGUCCCAGUCUACAGGCUUUUACCUGGUGAUCCUGAAUCUUCCUAGAAUAGGAAUUGUAAAACUGAUGGACAGCAGGCUUAAGGCAGAGACUAGAAAAUUCCAACUGGCUUUAAGACAAUCCUUGGCUUAUCCCAUCACUAACUUUCAGGAGGAUUAUGAUUCCCUGUCCUGAGGGAGCAAGCUAUGGGUGACCCUCUCCACCAAAAUUCAGAGGUGGUUUCAGAAGUUUCUUUCUUUUAAUCUUUACUUUCUGUCUUAGAAUAGACAAGUAGUAGUUCCAAAGAAGAACAGUAAGGGCUAGGUAAUUGGGAUUAAGCGACUUGCCCAGAGUCACAUGGACUGAGAUCAAAUUUGAACCCAGGACCUCCCCCAUCUCCAGUCCUGACUCUAUUCACUAAGCCACCCAACUCCCCUUCAAGGGGUGUAGACUAAUGGAGCCAAUGGUUUCUAUAACCUAGGGAAAUUCCUGAGGAUCUACUCUUACAGAACCAAUUCAAUCUAUUAGAGUUUACUGAGGAGACUCUUUGUCCCUUUUUAUUUGGUUUAGAUGGGGAAUUAUUUGAAGUGGGUCUUCUAAAGAUGAACUCCCCUUGCAGCCAACCUGCCCAGAUCAAAUCUAUAAUGGAGAAGGGGAAGUUCCUAAUGGAAAUGAGUUUGCUAGAUUUAUGCUGCUUCUCCUACUAAGUCCUGCCAUGCCUUAUCCCCUCCCAAUCUCUGGGGCAAUUAGAUCCUGCCUUCUGGGUGGAGUCUCACCAAAAUGGCUUUAGACUUUAGCUAUAUGUCUCCCUCACCACCCAACCAUUCAGGUAUGGUGAAAUUUGAGCAGUAGACAGUGGUAGUUGUGAACAAUAUGGGUACCAGUGCAAAUAGACACUUGGCAAUGGGGGAAGAAGUCAUAGAGCCUGCUGCCACCCUGCUAAGUGAAAAGAAGAUAAUGAAGCCAGCCCUAGAAGGGAGCUUUAAGUGUGGGAGACAAAAUGUGAAUUUGAUGAGAAUGUGAUGGUUAGCCCAUGGAGGAGCUAGUAAAACUGUACUGUACACUGGAUCCCCAGAGGAAUAGAACAUUUUUCUUCUCCAGUAAUCAAGAUGAAGGAAAUGGAGUACAGUCCUCCCUCACUAUAUCACAGUUCACUUAUCAGUUUCACUGUAUCCUGGGUUUUAAAAAAAUAUAUUUCUAAUUCUGAAUCACGCAGUUUUCCCUAUAUCGCAGGACUUUGAGGAUGGAUACCGUACUGUACACAAUGGAAAUACAGUAGCUUGUGAAAGUUUGCCAACAUGAGAUUGUACACGACACUAUUGCUGCUGGAAUGAAGGGUAACCAACCACAGCGCUGUGUUCUGUAUCCUUGGUGCUGAUUGGCUCCGUGUUUAUAAGAGUGAGAGAGGGAAAGGAUGAUAAGCGUGUAGAAAAGGUUUAUAGGAGAGUGGGAAAAGUUUAUAAAGCCUUUAAAAAUAUAUAAAUAAUAAAAUAAAUAUAAUGCUGCUACUUCACAGAUUUUCACCUGGGGAGGGAGGUGGAAUGUAACUCCUGAGAUAGGUGAGGGAUGGCUUGUACUUUGUUAUGCCAGAACCCCUUACAACAACCCUGUGUUACCUGUGAGGGUGACCUAUGAAAUCAAAGGGUAUUUGGCUGCUGCUGGUGGAUUACAAGGAGCUGAACAAAGUCACCAGACCUACCACAGCUGUUCCUGAUCUCCUCUGUUAUCAGAGACCAGAUCAGGUAGCCCAGACCUAAGGUGAGUUGGUAUGGAGAAGCCAAUCCUGUCAAUGCUUUUCUUCUCUGUUCUUAUAGCUGAGACUAGUCAGAAGUAAUUUGCUUUUGUUGAAGAAUUCCUCAAUCCAGAGGUCCUAAGAUUCUCAUGAAGAGUAAUUGGGUGCACUUUGGUCCAUUUGACUAGAGGACAAUAAAUGAGGAGAUUGUCCCAGUUUCUUACCAAAAGCCAUAAGAAUAUGUUUCAGAAUUAAAACAGUGACCUAGAAAAGAAGGAAGAAGUGUGCCCUAUGAGAAAUCAUUAUAAUUAGUUCAUCCUGGCUUGUCGUCCUCUAUCACUGAUAUACUUCUUUACAGAUAAUGGGUCCUUCAUGUCUUACUUUUCCAUUGGGAAGAACUGAAUAUAAGAUUAGUGUAUGAAAUGACCCGGAGGAGGUUUAGUGUUUUAAUUUACAAUUGUUGUCUCCUCCAUUAGACUGAGCUCCUUAAUUAGGAGGAACUUUCUUUCUUUGCUUUUUUGGGGUAUCCCUAGUAUUUAGUACAGUUCCUGGUACCUAGUAGGCAUUUAAAUAACCAGUGAUCUCAGCACAUUCUGCAAUUAUAGAUCCACAAUCCCUUCAAGUACUCCAUAUAAUAGCCUCUUAUUUCCCUUUCCAGCAAAACUACUACCUUAGUGAAGAUAAAAUUCAAUUAGCAUCAGCUGAUGGCAGUGUAUAGCAACCUAUAUAAGGUUAGCCUUAGAGUGAUAUAACAAGUGGCAAAAGGAGUCUAUGAGGAGAAGCUAAUCUGCCACUUGUUUUACUUGGGAAGUUGAGUGGUAAGGACUAGAUGGUAAGUGAUUUGAGGAAGAAUGUGCUAGUCCUGGAGUUCAAAGACUCCAUUAAGUAUCUGGAGUUCCAAAGAUCAAGUUUGUUUCAAUGAGAUAAUUUUAUAUCCAUAUUUAAUCUCAAAUUCUUCUGAAAAAGAAAUCCCAAAGAUAAUAUACUUUAAGAUAGAAUCAUUCAGUUGAAUAAAAUACAAUUAAGAGUCUAUCUCCAUUUACAUAACCCAGUCGUUCUACUCCUUUGACCUCUAAGAUUACUUUUUUCUGGAUAGAUGUUGUUUCCAAACUCACAGUCAGCUUUUCCUACACACUUUCACCCUGGAAGGAGUUCACUGUUCUUCCCAAGAGGUAUUACUAACUCUUCUUCAUACAGUUUGAAACCUCUGGUACAUGUGACUACAUUAAUGCCAUAAAGUUGACCAGGUCAGAUGAAGCCACAGUGCAGAGGCCCUAGGGCAAGAUGGUGGCCUUUUUGAGGGACAAGGGGUAGAAAAUCAAUCCUAAGGAAAUCUAGAGUCCAGUCCUCUCAGUCAACUUUUGGGGGACAUAGGGAUGGAGAAAACUGAGAGGAUCCCAGAUACUUUCCAGAAUAAACUACUUACACUUAUAUUUAAGAAGGAAGACUUCUUGUCCUCUAGGUUUUGGAGAAUCCAAAUUACCCAACUGGAUAUCCUAAUGGCCUCCAUUUGCCAAGUCACCUAUAAAUCUUCAUCUUUCUUUUUUUUUUAACCCUUAGCUUCUGUCUUAGAAUCAGUACUAUGUACUGAAUUCCAAGGCAGAGAAGUGGUAAGGGUCAGGGUUAAAUAGGGUCACAAAGCUAGGAAGUAUCUGAGGCCAGAUUUAAAUCAUCAUCUUUCAAGUAAGGUCCAGAAAGAUAAAAAGCACAUUGUCCAGUAGUCUUCUCUUGGGCCCUUAUGACCCUUCAAGGGACAUGUUUAUGGAGAUCUCUCUAACCAUAAAGAUGAGGCUAUGAGGCUGAGUGGAGUCUUUGUCAGAUACCAAGAGGGCACCAGAAGAAGCUAAUGUUAGACACCUGGCGCUCCAAUUCCCUCACUAGAGCAUUUCUGGAAAGAAGUUGCAGAACACAGGGUAGCACCAUCACCCUUUGUCUUGAAUUACCUAUUGUGAUUUGGGGGAUGCAAAAUGGGAAGAACAGAGGGGGCUUAGGGCUUAGUGAAUGAAGAAUUAGGCCUAGAAAUGGGGGGGUUCUGGCUUAAAAUCCUGGCUUCAGACACUUCCUAGUGGUGUGACUCAACCCCUAUUAUCUAGUCUUCCAGACUUACCUAUCUAGUCUUACCACAUGCAAUGUUGAUUUUAAAAUGGAAGGAAAGAGUUAAAAAAGGAGAAGAGAUAAAAGGAAAGGAAGAAAGGAAAGAGGGAGAGAGGGAAAAAGAAAGAAAUGUUUGUCUGGGUCCCUCUGGCAGUGCUCUUCACUGUCAAGCUAUGUUCUUACUCUGCUACAGACUGAAGCCCCCAGACCAUCUAGUAUAAACAUUCAGAUGCAUAAUCAUGACUACCCAUAUCAGAUGUCUAACUUCCCAAAAAUCCAUAUCCAUGACAAGUUGAUGCUGCCUUGGAAAGGAGGAAGAGUUCCCUUGUCCAGCAGUUUCUUGGGUCCAGUUUCCAGAUAGACUUAUAUAAGGAUGGACUGUUUUUUAACAUAGUUCUGACUAAAUCUUCCUGGCUCUUCCUUAAUCCUUCCCCAGCUCAGAUUUGCCUUGGUCUCAAUGUCUUUGUUCUCCUAAGGGCUUCAUAUACUCUGGAGAAGUGCUCAGAUCUUCCCCAAUUGGCAGAUUUCCUGUUCUUUGGAUUUGGAAUAGUUGAAGGCACUUGGAACUAGAAGAGGUUUGGAGAGCCAAGCAGGUUAAUUAUUGUUUCAGUUUCCGUUGUGGUUGACAUUCAAUGACCCCAUUUGGUGUUUCUUUGGCAAAGACAUUGAAGUGGUCAGCCAGUUCCUUCUCCAGCUUAUUUGACAGAUGAAGAAACUGAGGCAAACAAGGGUAAAUGACUUGCCCAGGAUCACACAGGUGGUGUCUGAGGUCAAAUUAUUUCAAUAUAUAAAGAACAAAAAAAAAAAAGAGGAUUAGGCAAGAAAUCAUAAAUUUCCUUGACUAAGAGUUGAAUACUUUUAUUUUUUCAAGAUAUGUAUAUAUACCUAUUUGUUGUUGUACAUAUACCUAUAUAAUUAGCAAAUGAUAAAAAAAAAAUAACAAAACUAUUCAUUUGUACCUCUUUUUGAAUUUUUUUGCACAUUUAAAUGUUUUAUUGGUUUUCUCUCUUUUUACUUAUCUUUCCUCUCCUUCAUACCCAGCCCCUAGAUGUGUAUAGUCCAGCAAAACAAAUCAACACAUUGUCCACUUCUGAGUAUCUAUGUCUCAGUCUGCGCCUCCAGUCCAUCAUCUGUCUUCCAAGAGGUGGGAGGGAUGUCCCAUCACCCAAACUUUGAAGUUGUUCCCUGCUUUGAUGGGACUUCUGAGAUCUAUGUAACCAAAUACUCUUCUUCCAUCUAAGUAUGAGAUACAAGUAAAGGUAAUUUAACUAAAGCAUGAAAA